UCUGAUUUUCAGUACGAAUA
rnacentral:snRNA from 1 species